rnacentral:rRNA from 1 species
AAGUCGUAACAAGGUCUCCGUUGGUGAACCAGCGGAGGGAUCAUUACAGAGUUCUAAAAAGACUCCCAAAACCAUUGUGAACGCACCGUUAGCCGUUGCCUCGGCGGGCGGCCCCUCCCUGGGGCCGCUGCCCUCCCUCGCGGGGGGUGCCCGCCGGCGCGCCAAAAACUCUUAUGUAUGUUAGUGGCCUCUCUGAGAAAACAAGCAAAUAAGUUAAAACUUUCAACAACGGAUCUCUUGGUUCUGGCAUCGAUGAAGAACGCAGCGAAAUGCGAUAAGUAAUGUGAAUUGCAGAAUUCAGUGAAUCAUCGAAUCUUUGAACGCACAUUGCGCCCGCCAGUACUCUGGCGGGCAUGCCUGUCCGAGCGUCAUUUCAACCCUCAAGCCCCGCUUGGUGUUGGGGUCCUACGGCUGCCGUAGGCCCUGAAAGCUAGUGGCGGGCUCGCUAUAACUCCGAGCGUAGUAGUAAAAUAUCUCGCUAGGGAGGUGUCGCGGGUUCCGGCCGUGAAAGCCCAUCUUUUACACAAGGUUGACCUCGGAUCAGGUAGGAAUACCCGCUGAACUUAA